UACGUAGGGGGCAAGCGUUGUCCGGAAUCAUUGGGCGUAAAGAGCGCGUAGGCGGUCCGGUAAGUCCGCUGUGGAAGUCAAGGGCUCAACCCUUGAAUGCCGGUGGAUACUGUCGGGCUAGAGUCCGGAAGAGGCGAGUGGAAUUCCUGGUGUAGCGGUGAAAUGCGCAGAUAUCAGGAGGAACACCAAUGGCGAAGGCAGCUCGCUGGGACGGUACUGACGCUGAGGCGCGAAAGCGUGGGGAGCAAACAGG
rnacentral:rRNA from 1 species